rnacentral:rRNA from 1 species
AAAUGAACAAAUUAAGGUAGUACUAUACAAAAAAACCUAUAAUGUUUGGCGGUUGUUACCCCCUAGAGGAACUCGCUUCAUAAUCGACAAUCCCCGUUAAAUUUCACUUUAUUCACACAGCUAUUAUACCGCCGUUACCCGGACCCUAUCAAAUUUACAUACCCCUAAUAAAAAUACUUAAAAAAUCAGGUCAAGGUGAAGCCCACAAUAAAGAAGAAGUAAGUUACACUAAAAAAAAUUUAAGGAAUUACGUCAAAAGCCAACAACAAAAAAGAAUCUAUAAGCACGUAUUAAUCAAAACUCAAUACAGAAACCUCACAUAACAAUGC